rnacentral:rRNA from 1 species
AGAGUUUGAUCAUGGCUCAGGAUGAACGCUAGCGGCAGGCCUAAUACAUGCAAGUCGAACGGUAGGUUUCCUUCGGGGAACUGAGAGUGGCGCACGGGUGCGUAACGCGUAUGCAACCUACCUUGUACAGGGGAAUAGCCCGGAGAAAUCCGGAUUAAUGCCCCAUGGCAUCACCAGAUGGCAUCUGAAGGUGAUUAAAGAUUUAUCGGUACAAGAUGGGCAUGCGUGACAUUAGUUAGUUGGUGGGGUAACGGCCCACCAAGACGAUGAUGUCUAGGGGUUCUGAGAGGAUGAUCCCCCACACUGGUACUGAGAUACGGACCAGACUCCUACGGGAGGCAGCAGUAGGGAAUAUUGGUCAAUGGGCGAGAGCCUGAACCAGCCAUGCCGCGUGCAGGAAGACGGCCUUCUGGGUUGUAAACUGCUUUUCUACGGGAAGAAAAUGCCCCUGCGGGGGAAAUUGCCGGUACCGUAGGAAUAAGCACCGGCUAACUCCGUGCCAGCAGCCGCGGUAAUACGGAGGGUGCAAGCGUUGUCCGGAUUUAUUGGGUUUAAAGGGUGCGUAGGCGGGCCCUUAAGUCAGUGGUGAAAGCCCGCAGCUCAACUGUGGAACUGCCAUUGAUACUGGGGGCCUUGAGUGUACUAGAGGUAGGCGGAAUUUAUGGUGUAGCGGUGAAAUGCAUAGAUACCAUAAAGAACACCGAUAGCGUAGGCAGCUUACUGGAGUACAACUGACGCUGAGGCACGAAAGCAUGGGGAGCGAACAGGAUUAGAUACCCUAGUAGUCC